AAUAUUUAGAAUUAGCCAAAUUGACAGAUAUAAUAAGACAAAAACCAAAAAGUGAAGUGAAAAAAGAAUGUGAGUGCCUAAAGGAAUACCUUAAAAGCCAAGGUUCGAGGACAGAAAUUUGGCUGAGUCUGGAAUAACCUUGUGAAGUGAAAGGAUAAGAAAGAGGGAUUUAUAUCUAGAUGCUAGGAUAGAGAUGAUAAGGAAAACAGGAAGGCAUAAUGAGAGGUAAAGGAGGUGCUGUGGGAUUGGUGGAAGUCAAUGUUUGUUUUUCUUUUUAGUGCUUAUAUUAUUAACUUGUAAGAUAUGGAUUUGGGGGUUUUUUGUACGCUGGUUUUUGUGUUUUGUGUAUUGUUAUUUUUUGAUAUUUUUCGUGUUGUUGUGUGGAAAAUACUAAUAAAAUUUAUUAUAAAAACAAGCAGGUGGUGUAAGUUCAGAGAAAGAAAUGGCACACAUUUAAAAACAAACCACCUCUUUAGCACUGUUAUGUUCCCUGACAGGACUCCUCAACCUUUAACAGCUGUGCAACAGGCAGAAAUUCAAUAGGUGCAGAUUUUCCCACUUUGGAUCUAUAGUGAUGGGGAAAACUACAGCUGUUAAAUUUGUGCAUGAUGAUUACUCAAAAGGUCUGUCAGAACAAAAGGUGACCAAGACCGCAUACAAACCACACAUUUAAAGGACAUUUCCGCUUCAGGAAACCUGGGAGCUGUCGUUUACCUCUAACACAGCUGCAAUUUCCAGUACCCUAAACAAGCUACUGUUCCCAGGAUUCUCUGGGGCAAAAAAAUGUGUUUUCAAUGUACUGUACAUGCAGUCUAGGUUUCAGCCUCUUUAUGUUUUUGCACCCUGCUCUUCAAGUAUCUCAGAGCAGCAUUUAGGUUGAAAGUAACACGGACUGCUCCAAAUCUUCCAUGGAGUUUUACAGGCCCCAUGUGAGCCGGCUGAGGAUUUUCACACAGGACAUUGCAGGCAUGGAGACAGUGGACUCAGCUAUACAGUUGCAAAUAAAACAUUUUGAGUGUGUUUUAAGUGCAAUAUACAAUGUGUGACAAUAGAUGGCAUUGGUGAGCCUUAUGGAAAAUUCAAUGUAUUUUUAAAACUGCUUUUAAAAAAGCAUUUUCAGAACGUUUUUUAUAUGUGUGUGGAUUCCACCAGUCUUCAUUUUGAAGUAAGCCAGCUGAGAGCCGUCUAGCCCUCUCCUGGGCCUAAAAAGGAAAAUGUGGCAAGAAGGGAAAACAUCAAUUUCAACUGCAUAUGCCAAAAUCAAAUCCUGUUUUGAGUACCCAGCUUUGUGGUUAUGUUUGGCUUUCGGACACUUUGGAAAUAUCACAAAAUAUGCAUCGUAUUGCAUAGAUGGGGAGCCUGUGGUCCUCCAGAUGUUGCUAGACUACAGCUUCCAUCAUCCCUGACCAAAGGCCAUAUUGGGUGUCCUAACAACUCCCAGCAUCCUUAACAAAGUUCUGGAACAUAUACUUUGUCCAGAGAGAAGUAAGGUCAAAUCCCUCCUCAGCUGUAUAGCUCACUGGGUGUCUGUGGGGCAGUCACUUUAUGAGGAUAAAGUGGGGUAAACUCUAUCCAUGAAUGCUGCCUUGAAUGCUUUGGAAGAUGGAGAUUGCUUACGAAGUGAAGGAUUAAAAGUCAAAUUAUCUGCAGCUCAUCUUCUGCCAGCUACUACUAGGAAGGGGGAUAAAGUCUAUGGUUGAACCCUUUGUGGCCUAUUACAAGUCAUUCUAAACCUUCAGUGCUGGAAACUGUAGAAAAUGUUUCUACAUUUAUCUUUCUUUUAUGUGGUGUGAAGCGUACAUCCAUUCUACCCCAUGACAGAGCCAGUGAUGGGGGAGCAGGUUAGUGGUACCAAGCACUCUGCAAAGGUAACAUAUGAAGUCGCCCUAAUUAUCCUGCAUAGAAAAUGAACGCCAACAAUCAGCAGGUGGCACAAUUGCUGUCUCCUUCAUUAACUCAUUUCUGUCAACCUAACCAGGAGGCAAAGGAUAGUGUCACAUGAGGUUUAAAGUAGCUCUACUGUUCUUGGUAUGUUAACAACUAUUGUGGGUGUUAACAUAAAUUGCCUGUGAGAGACUCCAAGGCAAUUUAAGUCCAAUGUGUGAAAAUACCCAAAGCUUUUUUUAAAGCUCUGAUUCUUCUUCUGCUCUUAAAAGAAAGUGCUGCUGACUCUUGAACUAGAACAUCAUGCAAUUCUUUCGUCGCUCCUCUUUCCAACUUAAAAUCAAGAGUGAAAGUCUUUUCGAAAACUGUUUUAACUGCAUCAGGACUGGUUCUUUUCAAUAUACUUCCAUUUAUAGUUCUAGCUUGAAUCUCUAUAGAGUAUCUGUUACUUGAAAAUCAUUAUAUGUAAGAAGUGUGAAAUGUUAUCUGAAUUAGAAAUAUGAAAAUUAUGUGCAGAUUCCCUAGACAAUCUGUUAUCUGAAUGCUUAAAAUUAUAUGGUUGCAUUUUAAAUGAUGAACAGUAUGACCCAUGAUUCAUUUACCAACUACUGUAAACCAAGAACUAGCAUUGUAGGAGGCAACUUUAACAUAUUAGAACUCUUGUCUACCACUUAAUUAAAUUAUGCAAUCAGGGAACAGGUACUAUAUUGCAGCUUGGGGUGAUUUGGAAGGAAAUUAGCAUAGGCAGCAGCUCCUAAUCAAAGUGGCACUCCAUUAAUUGUAUCACACCAGGGACUUCAAUUGCACUGAAACCCUGCUGUAACAAGUCAGUGUGAUGGGUGCAUUGUGGAAGUUGUUAGGACACCUUUGCUGCUGUUGUCCAGUUCUGAACUUCUUGCUUUGCUCUUGAACUCCUGAACCAUGGCUCUUGAGGCUCAUGCCUGCUUCUGCUAAGCCUAAAUAAAUAUCUCUUGCUCACUU